CAAAUUAGAGCUUGAUAUAUAAGCAUUUCAUUUACAUUGAAAAGAUAUUAAUAUUUUAUUUAAUUUGA
rnacentral:tRNA from 1 species